rnacentral:rRNA from 1 species
GAUGAACGCUGGCGGCGUGCCUAAUACAUGCAAGUCGAGCGAACGGACGAGAAGCUUGCUUCUCUGAUGUUAGCGGCGGACGGGUGAGUAACACGUGGAUAACCUACCUAUAAGACUGGGAUAACUUCGGGAAACCGGAGCUAAUACAGGAUAAUAUUUUGAACCGCAUGGGUCAAAAGUAAAAGACGGUCUUGCGGUCACUUAUAGAUGGAUCCGCGCUGCAUUAGCUAGUUGGUAAGGUAACGGCUUACCAAGGCAACGAUGCAUAGCCGACCUGAGAGGGUGGUCGGCCACACUGGAACUGAGACACGGUCCAGACUACUACGGGAGGCAGCAGUAGGGAAUCGUCCGCAAUGGGCGAAAGCCUGACGGAGCGACGCCGCGUGAGUGAUGAAGGUCUUCGGAUCGUAAAACUCUGUUAUUAGGGAAGAACAUAUGUGUAAGUAACUGUGCACAUCGUGACGGUACCUAAUCAGAAAGCCACGGCUAACUACGUG